UAAGCUUGUGGUGAUUUAGUUUCGAGGUUUGGGGUUCUUGGAAUUGAAUAUCGCUAUAUUUAAAAAAGUAUGAGCAGUACAGUGUUCUAAAGUUAAUUAGUGGUUAGGUGUGACUAAUUUAUUUUUUACCUUAGUUUUUCGAAGCAAUAAUUGUUCAAGUUCAAUUUUAAGACGCAUUAAAGCAGUAAAAUAAAAACUCAAUUCAAGAUUUUCUUUAAAUCCUAAUGGACUAAGUUUCAAAAUUGAAAAUAUUAUUUUUACAUUGUGUAUGUGUAUUUUAGAAGAAGUUUCAAAAAUUUUACCUGACCCUAGCACUAUACCAGAAUGGAACCACAACGAAAAGGCUCUUGAGUGGGUUAAAAAGUGUGACUUUGACCAAUGCUCUUUACCUGAGUUCUAUCAAACAGUAGACGAAAAAGAUACAGUAUUAAAACCUUUCUCAAAUAAAGACAAUUUUGAAAGUGAAAAGCAGGACGAUAUUACAAGACAAGCCAACACAGAAACUUGCUCGUACAAUCCUAAAAAUGAUAGACAAUUUUUCCAAAAUACCGAUAAUGUUACCACAGAUGCCAUACCGAAGUUAAUACAGAAUUUGAUUCACUUAAGAAGCCUUGCUUACCAUCUCCAAAUCAAAAGAUAGAAAAUACUUUUUUAAUGCAAACAGUGGAUAAUGGUUUUGUGUCCGAUUAUUAUAACAUUGACAGAAGCACUAGAGAAUAUAAACUUACAGUAUUACAACCUUUACCGAUUAAUUCUUGUGAAACCCAAGAUUUUAAUUCAGAACAACCAAUUGCAAAAAAUAAUUUUGACGAUGACGUGGAGCACUGCGCAGAACUUCCGCCUAAAAGAAUAAAAGUCAUUUCCUCAAUUAAACUGCUUACACCGAGCCUCGAAUUAAGUAACAGAAAGUGCACCAAAAAUGAAAAAAGGGAAAAGCUCUUGCGGCAAAAAAUUUAUAGUUUUACGUCAUCUGUCGAUAUUAAAAGUGACGAUUCUAAAGAUUUAGACUUCGUCUUAAAAGAUCUUAACGAAUCUUCAAUAUCAUCACAAUCGAUAAAUUCUGAAAAUAUUACUACCUCACAACAAACCCGCAGCUUGCUAG